rnacentral:SRP_RNA from 1 species
GGCCGGGUCCUGCGCAACGUUUGCCUGUGAACCUCGUCAGAUGGGGAACCAAGCAGCGAUAAGCAGUGUCUUUCGUGUGAUGCAGGCCCACCCGGUGUGA